GUCUAUCAGGUGCUUAUUAAUUUUAAUGAGAAAAAGAAUAAACCUCUAGAAGUGUCGGACAGUGAGGAUAAUUUUAACAAAACCACAGUCUUGCAACUGAAGAGAAAAUUCUCGGAAAAAAUUACUGGAGCACCAGAUCCAGAAAACCUAAGAGUUAUCUUUGGAAAACCCUCUGGAAGACAACAUGACACUUGUGUUUUAUAAAAUUAAACAUUUGUCUGUCCUUUUCUUUGUUUUAAAGAUGCCUGGAGGAGAUGUGUGAACACAAACAUGGAUCCUAAAAGCUCUGACAGAAAGGGGAUGAGAGGGUGCAUGUGGCUAAGUGUGGACCAAUGUGUGGAUUCCUCCUAUAUGUGGUUUGAGGAUCUACAAUUACCUCUGUUGUGAUGUCAUAAACACUAUGCAUUGUUUAGAUUUUAGACAGUUCAUUUUUAAAUGUGUACUUCAAAACCAGUGAUUUGUACCUAUGCAUGAACUGUAAUGCUUAUAAUUUAAAAACAUUAUAUGAUUUUGGAACAACAAUUGGAAAGUUUACUUGAAUUUGGAAUGAAUUAGAUUCAUCACUGUAAAUAAUAACUUGUCAUUUGCAUUAUGAAAAUGCCUGUGUAAGCAAUCUGAUGUUAAAUUUCAACCGUUUUGUAGAGGGAAAUUAAUGAGAGGGAAGUAUGCAUUAUAGACGUGAAAAAUAAAUGUCUAAAAAGAUUUUUUGAUUUG